UACAGAGGUCUCAAGCGUUGUUCGGAUUCAUUGGGCGUAAAGGGCGCGUAGGCGGCGGGGUAAGUCGGGUGUGAAAUCUCAGGGCUCAACCCUGAAAAUGCACUCGAUACUGCUCUGCUUGAGGACUGGAGAGGAGACUGGAAUUCACGGUGUAGCAGUGAAAUGCGUAGAUAUCGUGAGGAAGACCAGUGGCGAAGGCGGGUCUCUGGACAGUUCCUGACACUGAGACACGAAGGCCAGGGGAGCAAACGGG
rnacentral:rRNA from 1 species